AAUUUAUUGAGCACAUGCUAGAAUGUAGGCAAAGCACGACGAGUAACUUGAAGUAAUGCACACAUUGUGCCACCUAAAGUGGAGCUUCCUAGAGUUAUCAAUUCAACCUGAUGCAUUGGGGAGAUUUUAUCAAGCCAACAUGGUGUGCUAGUCCUGCAAAGAGGAGAAAUUUAGUUUGGAGAAUUUUCAUUUGUUCUUAGAAUAAUUAGGGUGUUAUAUAUUGGGGAGGCAAUAAAUAUUUUCUUCCCCGGA
rnacentral:misc_RNA from 1 species